rnacentral:rRNA from 1 species
UACGGAGGGUGCAAACGUUAAUCGGAUUUACUGGGCGUAAAGCGCAUGUAGGCGGGUCGUUAAGUUGGGGGUGAAAUCCCGAGGCUCAACCUCGGAACUGCCUUCAAAACUGGCGACCUGGAGCAAGAUAGAGGCAAGUGGAAUUGCGAGUGUAGAGGUGAAAUUCGUAGAUAUUCGCAGGAACACCAGUGGCGAAGGCGACUUGCUGGAUCUUUGCUGACGCUGAGAUGCGAAAGCGUGGGGAGCAAACAGG